AUACGGAGGGUGCGAGCGUUAAUCGGAAUUACUGGGCGUAAAGCGUGCGUAGGCGGUUUGCUAAGUCAGAUGUGAAAGCCCCGGGCUUAACCUGGGAACUGCAUUUGAUACUGGCAGACUAGAGUAUGAUAGAGGGGGGUAGAAUUCCUGGUGUAGCGGUGAAAUGCGUAGAUAUCAGGAGGAAUACCAGUGGCGAAGGCGGCCCCCUGGAUCGAUACUGACGCUGAGGUACGAAAGCGUGGGGAGCGAACAGGAUUAGAUACCCUAGUAGUCC
rnacentral:rRNA from 1 species